rnacentral:misc_RNA from 1 species
GAUGAAGAACGCAGCGAAAUGCGAUAAGUAAUGUGAAUUGCAGAAUUCAGUGAAUCAUCGAAUCUUUGAACGCACAUUGCGCCCCCUCGUAUUCCGGGGGGCAUGCCUGUCCGAGCGUCAUUACAACCCUCAAGCUCAGCUUGGUGUUGGGCCCCGCCGCCCCGGCGGGCCCUAAAGUCAGUGGCGGUGCCGUCCGGCUCCGAGCGUAGUAAUUCUUCUCGCUCUGGAGGUCCGGUCGUGUGCUCGCCAGCAACCCCCAAUUUUUUUCAGGUUGACCUCGGAUCAGGUAGGGAUACCCGCUGAACUUAAGCAUAUCAAUAAGCGGAGGA